rnacentral:lncRNA from 1 species
CCCAGAUUUAAUCACAGCUGGCUUUCUGCAGUGCCCAGAUCCCUUGCUCAGUGGGGAUGAGUGCUGAAUCAGAUACCAUUUAGAACCCUUUCUGCAAAGUGCAGGUCAGUCUCGGGGUGGUAUGAGAAUCUUUUCAUUUAAUCUGACAAAGGCACUGCAAGCAUGGAGCUUUUAACAGGGCUGGUUUGGCACACUCUGAAAAACAGUAGACCCAGAUUCCUUCACAGCUCUGCUUUGACACUUUGCAAUAAGGCAGUCUGGCCAAGUAGACCCAGAUUGGCAGGAGCAAGUGCUGUAAUACUCAGUUCUCAGUGGAUGAUUAAAACUGAAAGCACCUGUGAUGUCUGGAUGAGAAAAAGCGUCCCAAUUUGUAAGAUGUUUUCAGGUAUAUCAGGCCAUGGUGCCAACUGGAUUUCAAACGUGCUGGAUUACAGUGGAACCCCUGUGGAAGAACCUGUGACAUUCACAUGAACACCACAUGAAUUCUUAAUAAUCUGCAGGUUAUACUGAAUACUGA